UAGCUCAGUUGGAUAGAGCGUUUGACUUCGAAUCAAAAGGUCGCAGGUUCGAGCCCUGCCGCGCGCACCA
rnacentral:tRNA from 1 species